UCUAAUGUUGCAAACACUGUUCCUAAUUACAUGGAGUUUGGUCUGUUGUAGAGAGAGAGCUGUGUAAAAUAGUGUGUUACAUGGUACUAGUAUAAGAAAGGAGCACAGGUGGUACGAGGGACUGUUUUGUCACUUGAGCUGGGGGCAGGGGUUAAAGUAGGCCUGAGAGGAUGUCAUUUGGGCAAGAGUCUGAAGGAGGGAGUGAGACUGUUGAUUCUUGGAGAUUAUCUCAGGUAAGCAAGCAGACAUGGAUGGAUGGCCUGGAUGGUUAUGUAUUUGGAUAUCACCUUAGUGUCUAGAGCAAGGAAAAAGAGAGAAGGUCUAAUGGGUAAGUGAAAGCUGCAUGGGAAGGACUGUAGGACUUUGUGGGUAGAAAAUGACACAAUUCAUUGAAAAUGCCCUAUGGCACUAAGGAAGAAGCAGAUUUAGGAGAUGCUGUUGUGGUCAGGGGUGAGUCUGAUGAAUCAGAGUAGUAGUGGGGAGUUCGGAAAGUGAUUGGAUACUUGGGUGUGUCAUAAGGAGUGAUCAGGAUUUGACAAUAUACUGAAUGUGUUGUAGAGGGGAAAACACAAAUGGCUCUUCAGACCAUGGGUGUGGCAAACAGCUGAAAGGGUAUACUUGCAAUUAAUUAACUAGAAUAGGUUUGAGGUAUCCAUAAGAAGCAGAGAAAGAAUUUUAAAUAACAGGAAAAUCCCUCGCUGAAGAUGAUGAGCUGGAAGUUGUGUAUAAAUGGCAGUUCAAACUAUAAAGCUGAACAAGUAUCAGAAUGGCAAAGGACUGAAGCUCAAAGAGAUACCUGUCCAUGUUUCUUGCUGCUCUUACCACAAUUGCAAAGAAAUGGAACCAGUCUUAAUUAUCCGCCAUCAGAUAAAAGAACUGAACUGUUAAGGGCAUUCCAUUCAAAGGCACGUCACCAUGAGGGGCCAGGAUUGGAAGCCACAGGAUUGAACUUGUUAAUGUGACUCCAGUGCCCUAGCAAAAACACCAUACUGCCAUUUGUUUUCAAGUAACCUGUCAUGAAAAAGAGUUCAAGAUUCUGGCUAGCAAAGGCAGUUAUUGUCCUGGUAUGCCAUAGCCAUUUCAGAGCUCUUGACACCUGUCAGGAAGUGGGGCGUGUGACCCAAGGGGAGGACCGUAUAUGGAGAUCACUGAAUACCCAUUCUUACUUGGUACUCAGAUUGGGGCUUGGGAAGAAAACUCUGUUCAUGAAUAGAUUAGGUGCCACCUGCCAGGCUUCCCCACUGUGUGAUAGAUAGUCUUAGAGGAUCAUCAACCAAAGGAAGGGAUGGCAUGAUCUCAAGUGGGAGCUGCAUGAAUGCAUCUUGGCAACUAGUCACAUGGAGUCAGACCGUCUUCCCCUCUGGUGCUUUGUGGGGCCAAGGAUGGUCCAUGGCUUCCUGUUGGUGGUGUCAUCCUGUUAUAUUGUCAUGUUGUAUGUUAACUUUUGUUUUAUUUCAUCUUCUAGUCUCUGAAAGUCACUGUUUGGUCUCAUUUACAAAUCUGGUAAAGAGGGAGACAGCUACUUGGAAUUUUCUAAUGUGCUGGAGUAUAUAAUUUUAAGAGCAAUGCGAUAAGUCACAUUAAUAAAGUUUAUUUACUACUUUUUCACCAAAAUAAGAGUAUUUUAUGUGCUUUGUGGUUAAAUUCCUAGAGGUGUGGUUGUUACUUAGUGUUACUGUGUGUGUGUGUGUGUG
ensembl:lncRNA